GCGAGUACCAGACUGCAGCUGCAGCCAAGC
rnacentral:piRNA from 1 species